rnacentral:rRNA from 1 species
AGAUUGAACGCUGGCGGCAUGCCUUACACAUGCAAGUCGAACGGCAGCACGGGAGCAAUCCUGGUGGCGAGUGGCGAACGGGUGAGUAAUACAUCGGAACGUGCCCAAUCGUGGGGGAUAACGCAGCGAAAGCUGUGCUAAUACCGCAUAAGAUCUACGGAUGAAAGCAGGGGAUCGCAAGACCUUGCGCGAAUGGGAGCGGCCGAUGGCAGAUUAGGUAGUUGGUGAGGUAAAGGCUCACCAAGCCUUCGAUCUGUAGCUGGUCUGAGAGGACGACCAGCCACACGUGGACUGAGACACGGCCCAGACUCCGUACGGGAGGCAGCGAGGUGGGUAAUUUUGGACAAGUGGGCGAAAG